AUUGAACGCUGGCGGCAGGCCUAACACAUGCAAGUCGAGCGGAGCGGCGGACGGGUGAGUAAUGCCUAGGAAUCUGCCUGGUAGUGGGGGAUAACGUCCGGAAACGGGCGCUAAUACCGCAUACUAUCAGAUGAGCCUAGGUCGGAUUAGCUAGUUGGUGGGGUAAAGGCCUACCAAGGCGACGAUCCCUAACUGGUCUGAGAGGAUGACCAGCCACACUGGAACUGAGACACGGUCCAGACUCCUACGGGAGGCAGCAGUGGGGAAUAUUGGACAAUGGGCGAAAGCCUGAUGCAGCCAUGCCGCGUGUGUGAAGAAGGCUUUCGGAUUGUAAAGUACUUUAAGCGGGGAGGCGUUACCAACAGAAUAAGCACCGGCUAACUCCGUGCCAGCAGCCGCGGUAAUAC
rnacentral:rRNA from 1 species